UACGUAGGGACCAAGCGUUGUCCGGAAUCAUUGGGCGUAAAGAGCGUGUAGGCGGCUUGUUAAGUCUUGCGUGAAAUCUCGGGGCUCAACCCCGAGCGGUCGUGAGAAACUGGCAGGCUAGAGUGCGGGAGAGGAGAGUGGAAUUCCUGGUGUAGCGGUGAAAUGCGCAGAUAUCAGGAAGAACACCCGUGGCGAAGGCGGCUCUCUGGAACGCAACUGACGCUGAGACGCGAAAGCGUGGGGAGCAAACAGGAUA
rnacentral:rRNA from 1 species